rnacentral:rRNA from 1 species
AGUGAACGCUGGCGGUAGGCCUAACACAUGCAAGUCGAACGGCAGCACAGUAAGAGCUUGCUCUUACGGGUGGCGAGUGGCGGACGGGUGAGGAGUACAUCGGAAUCUACUUUUUCGUGGGGGAUAACGUAGGGAAACUUACGCUAAUACCGCAUACGACCUACGGGUGAAAGCAGAGGAUCUUCGGACCUUGCGCGAUUGAAUGAGCCGAUGUCGGAUUAGCUAGUUGGCGGGGUAAAGGCCCACCAAGGCGACGAUCCGUAGCCGGUCUGAGAGGAUGAUCAGCCACACUGGAACUGAGACACGGUCCAGACUCCUACGGGAGGCAGCAGUGGGGAAUAUUGGACAAUGGGCGCAAGCCUGAUCCAGCCAUACCGCGUGAGUGAAGAAGGUCUUCGGGUUGUAAAGCCCUUUUGUUGGGAAAGAAAAGCAGCAGGUUAAUACCCCGCUGUUCUGACGGUACCCAAAGAAUAAGCACCGGCUAACUUCGUG